rnacentral:ncRNA from 2 species
CACAUGCACUAGGGGUGCCUUUAAGAAAAGGCUGAGAUCGAAGUGAUACUUCGGGACUCUUUGAACCUGAACUGGCUCAAACCAGCGGAGGAAAGUGGCGGCUAUAUCAA